rnacentral:rRNA from 2 species
GGGUUGUGAGGUUAAGCGACUAAGCGUACACGGUGGAUGCCCUGGCAGUCAGAGGCGAUGAAGGGCGUGCUAAUCUGCGAUAAGCGCCGGUAAGGUGAUAUGAACCGUUAUAACCGGCGAUACCCGAAUGGGGAAACCCAGUGUGAUUCGUCACACUAUCAUUAACUGAAUCCAUAGGUUAAUGAGGCGAACCGGGGGAACUGAAACAUCUAAGUACCCCGAGGAAAAGAAAUCAACCGAGAUUCCCCCAGUAGCGGCGAGCGAACGGGGAGGAGCCCAGAGCCUGAAUCAGCAUGUGUGUUAGUGGAAGCGUCUGGAAAGGCGCGCGAUACAGGGUGACAGCCCCGUACACAAAAGCGCAUGUGCUGUGAGCUCGAUGAGUAGGGCGGGACACGUGGUAUCCUGUCUGAAUAUGGGGGGACCAUCCUCCAAGGCUAAAUACUCCUGACUGACCGAUAGUGAACCAGUACCGUGAGGGAAAGGCGAAAAGAACCCCGGCGAGGGGAGUGAAAAAGAACCUGAAACCGUGUACGUACAAGCAGUGGGAGCACAGGUUUACCUGUGUGACUGCGUACCUUUUGUAUAAUGGGUCAGCGACUUAUAUUCUGUAGCAAGGUUAACCGUAUAGGGGAGCCGGAGGGAAACCGAGUCUUAACCGGGCGUUAAGUUGCAGGGUAUAGACCCGAAACCCGGUGAUCUAGCCAUGGGCAGGUUGAAGGUUGGGUAACACUAACUGGAGGACCGAACCGACUAAUGUUGAAAAAUUAGCGGAUGACCUGUGGCUGGGGGUGAAAGGCCAAUCAAACCGGGAGAUAGCUGGUUCUCCCCGAAAGCUAUUUAGGUAGCGCCUCGUGAAUUCAUCUCCGGGGGUAGAGCACUGUUUCGGCUAGGGGGCCAUCCCGGCUUACCAACCCGAUGCAAACUGCGAAUACCGGAGAAUGUUAUCACGGGAGACACACGGCGGGUGCUAACGUCCGUCGUGAAGAGGGAAACAACCCAGACCGCCAGCUAAGGUCCCAAAGUCAUGGUUAAGUGGGAAACGAUGUGGGAAGGCCCAGACAGCCAGGAUGUUGGCUUAGAAGCAGCCAUCAUUUAAAGAAAGCGUAAUAGCUCACUGGUCGAGUCGGCCUGCGCGGAAGAUGUAACGGGGCUAAACCAUGCACCGAAGCUGCGGCAGCGACGUUUAUGUGUUGUUGGGUAGGGGAGCGUUCUGUAAGCCUGUGAAGGUGUGUCGUGAGGCAUGCUGGAGGUAUCAGAAGUGCGAAUGCUGACAUAAGUAACGAUAAAGCGGGUGAAAAGCCCGCUCGCCGGAAGACCAAGGGUUCCUGUCCAACGUUAAUCGGGGCAGGGUGAGUCGACCCCUAAGGCGAGGCCGAAAGGCGUAGUCGAUGGGAAACGGGUUAAUAUUCCCGUACUUGGUGUUACUGCGAAGGGGGGACGGAGAAGGCUAUGUUGGCCGGGCGACGGUUGUCCCGGUUUAAGCGUGUAGGCUGGUUUUCCAGGCAAAUCCGGAAAAUCAAGGCUGAGGCGUGACGACGAGGCACUACGGUGCUGAAGCAACAAAUGCCCUGCUUCCAGGAAAAGCCUCUAAGCAUCAGGUAACAUCAAAUCGUACCCCAAACCGACACAGGUGGUCAGGUAGAGAAUACCAAGGCGCUUGAGAGAACUCGGGUGAAGGAACUAGGCAAAAUGGUGCCGUAACUUCGGGAGAAGGCACGCUGACACGUAGGUGAAGUGAUUUACUCAUGGAGCUGAAGUCAGUCGAAGAUACCAGCUGGCUGCAACUGUUUAUUAAAAACACAGCACUGUGCAAACACGAAAGUGGACGUAUACGGUGUGACGCCUGCCCGGUGCCGGAAGGUUAAUUGAUGGGGUCAGCGCAAGCGAAGCUCCUGAUCGAAGCCCCGGUAAACGGCGGCCGUAACUAUAACGGUCCUAAGGUAGCGAAAUUCCUUGUCGGGUAAGUUCCGACCUGCACGAAUGGCGUAAUGAUGGCCAGGCUGUCUCCACCCGAGACUCAGUGAAAUUGAACUCGCUGUGAAGAUGCAGUGUACCCGCGGCAAGACGGAAAGACCCCGUGAACCUUUACUAUAGCUUGACACUGAACAUUGAGCCUUGAUGUGUAGGAUAGGUGGGAGGCUUUGAAGCGUGGACGCCAGUCUGCGUGGAGCCGACCUUGAAAUACCACCCUUUAAUGUUUGAUGUUCUAACGUGGACCCGUAAUCCGGGUUGCGGACAGUGUCUGGUGGGUAGUUUGACUGGGGCGGUCUCCUCCUAAAGAGUAACGGAGGAGCACGAAGGUUGGCUAAUCCUGGUCGGACAUCAGGAGGUUAGUGCAAUGGCAUAAGCCAGCUUGACUGCGAGCGUGACGGCGCGAGCAGGUGCGAAAGCAGGUCAUAGUGAUCCGGUGGUUCUGAAUGGAAGGGCCAUCGCUCAACGGAUAAAAGGUACUCCGGGGAUAACAGGCUGAUACCGCCCAAGAGUUCAUAUCGACGGCGGUGUUUGGCACCUCGAUGUCGGCUCAUCACAUCCUGGGGCUGAAGUAGGUCCCAAGGGUAUGGCUGUUCGCCAUUUAAAGUGGUACGCGAGCUGGGUUUAGAACGUCGUGAGACAGUUCGGUCCCUAUCUGCCGUGGGCGCUGGAGAACUGAGGGGGGCUGCUCCUAGUACGAGAGGACCGGAGUGGACGCAUCACUGGUGUUCGGGUUGUCAUGCCAAUGGCACUGCCCGGUAGCUAAAUGCGGAAGAGAUAAGUGCUGAAAGCAUCUAAGCACGAAACUUGCCCCGAGAUGAGUUCUCCCUGAGACUUAGAGUCUCCUGAAGGAACGUUGAAGACGACGACGUUGAUAGGCCGGGUGUGUAAGCGCAGCGAUGCGUUGAGCUAACCGGUACUAAUGAACCGUGAGGCUUAACCUUACAACGCCGAAGCUGUU